GUCGGAGUGGCGGAACGGCAGACGCGCUAGGUUGAGGGCCUAGUGUCCUUAUAGGACGUGUGGGUUCAAAUCCCAUCUCCGACACCA
rnacentral:tRNA from 1 species